rnacentral:sRNA from 1 species
ACACAGGGAAGGAGGUGGUCCGCAAAUUGAUUGGCUUAUGGACUUGUGAGGUGGCUGCGCGUUAAGCGCGAGCGGCUGGAAUCACCUGCGCGCGCUGGCGAAUUCCCCGCAGUCACCCGGCCCCCGAGCCUCCGGUCCGUCCAACCAGGAACUACGGCUCGGGGGCCGUCCCAU